rnacentral:rRNA from 1 species
UUUGAUCCUGGCUCAGAACGAACGCUGGCGGCAGGCUUAACACAUGCAAGUCGAACGCGUGUAGCAAUACACGAGUGGCGCACGGGUGAGUAACGCGUGGAUAUCUGCCUUUUGGUUCGGAAUAACCCCGGGAAACUGGGGCUAAUACCGGAUGGUUCCUUCGGGAUAAAGAUUUAUCGCCAAAAGAUGAGUCCGCGUACGAUUAGCUAGUUGGUGAGGUAAUGGCUCACCAAGGCGACGAUCGUUAGCUGGUCUGAGAGGACGAUCAGCCACACUGGGACUGAGACACGGCCCAGACUCCUACGGGAGGCAGCAGUGGGGAAUAUUGGACAAUGGGGGCAACCCUGAUCCAGCCAUGCCGCGUGUGUGAAGAAGGCCUUAUGGUUGUAAAGCACUUUAAGCGAGGAGGAGGCUCUCUUGGUUAAUACCCAAGAAGAGUGGACGUUACUCGCAGAAUAAGCACCGGCUAACUCUGUGCCAGCAGCCGCGGUAAUACAGAGGGUGCGAGCGUUAAUCGGAUUUACUGGGCGUAAAGCGUGCGUAGGCGGCUUUUUAAGUCGGAUGUGAAAUCCCCGAGCUUAACUUGGGAAUUGCAUUCGAUACUGGGAAGCUAGAGUAUGGGAGAGGAUGGUAGAAUUCCAGGUGUAGCGGUGAAAUGCGUAGAGAUCUGGAGGAAUACCGAUGGCGAAGGCAGCCAUCUGGCCUAAUACUGACGCUGAGGUACGAAAGCAUGGGGAGCAAACAGGAUUAGAUACCCUGGUAGUCCAUGCCGUAAACGAUGUCU